GACAGAGGGGGCAAGCGUUGUCCGGAUUGACUGGGCGUACAGCGCGCGCAGGCGGCACCGUAUGUGCAUGGUGACAUCCCACGGCUCAACCGUGGGCGGCCCAAGUACACAGCGGCGCUGGAGGCAGGGAGAGGGUCGUGGAAUGCCCGGUGGAGCGGUGAAAUGCGUAGAGAUCGGGCGGAACACCAGCGGCGAAGGCGGCGACCUGGCCCUGUACUGACGCUGAGGCGCGAGAGCGUGGGGAGCGAACGGG
rnacentral:rRNA from 1 species